UAUCUCUGUAGAGUCUGCAUAUCAAUAAGCGGAGGAAAAGAAACUAACAAGGAUUCCCUUAGUAACGGCGAGUGAAGCGGGAAGAGCUCAAAUUUGAAAUCUUCAAGGUUUUACCUUGACGAAUUGUAGUUUAAAGAAGUGUUUUCUGUUGAGUGUUUCGGUAAAAGUUCUUUGGAAUAGGACAUCAUAGAGGGUGAGAAUCCCGUAUUUGACCAUUAUUUCAGCUUUGUGAUACACUUUCAAAGAGUCGGAUUGUUUGGGAAUGCAGUCCAAAAUGGGUGGCUAAAUUUCAUCUAAAGCUAAAUAUUGGCGAGAGACCGAUAGCGAACAAGUACCGUGAGGGAAAGAUGAAAAGAACUUUGAAAAGAGAGUUAAACAGUACGUGAAAUUGUCAAAAGGGAAGCGUUUGACACCAGUGUUGUCUUCUCGAAAAUCAAUUAAAAAUGGCUUGAUUUUGUGUUGUAUUGACCUUAAAAGCUUCUUCACUUUUUUCAUGUCUUUUUUAAUGCACUUUUCGUUUAACAAGUCAACAUCAGUUUCUUUUGUUGUAAAAAGGUCAUUGGAAGGUGGCUUUCUUUUCGGAGAAAGUGUUUAUAGCCUUUGACUUCUGCAAUCGGAGAGACUGAGGUCUGCAGCGUAGAUCCUUCUGGAUUAGAUUCAUUUGUGCUAAGUUACAACCGUUUAUAGACAACUUGUUGACUAUAUUCGAUCCUGUAGCUUACUCGCUUAUGUAAUUUUACCUACGCUUAGGAUGUUGAAGAUGUAGCACAUCAU
rnacentral:rRNA from 1 species